CAAAUGGAAACUCUGCGUCUC
rnacentral:miRNA from 1 species